AUGGUUGAUUUUGAAGAAGAUGAGGCUGAUGAAGAAGAUGUUGACUAUGAAGAAGCAGAGGAAGGAGAAGAAGAUGAGGAUGAUGAAGAAGAAGAAGAAGAUGAUGAUGAUGAAGAAGAAGAAGAAGAGGGAGAUAAUGUGGAUGAAGAGGGAGAGGUUGAGAUCAUUGACAUGGGAUCGUUUUCUGAACCGGGAAGAAAGUUUUUGUCGAAAGUGUGGAAAGAAUAUGAGCCUAUCCGUGUUGAUGGCAUUGUUGUAGCUGCUGAGUGCAAACACUGUGCAAGGAAUAUUUGUGCUGAGCGUAAACAUGGAACAAGUUCAUUGCGCAAACAUUUGAAGAGAUGCAGGGAAAGGAAGAAGGUUCUUAGAGUUUCUGGACAGCUGAGUGCUUCUAUCGUGAGUCCUGAUGGAGUUGCAAUGGGGCUUUGGACCUUUAAUCAGGCAUUAGCACGCCGAGAGCUGAUGAGGAUGAUAGUGUUGCAUGAAUUGGCAUUCUCAUUGGUGGAGUACGAUGGAUUUAGAAGAUUUGUCUCUAGUUUAAAUCCUAGCUUCAAGAUGAUAUGCAGAAAAACUGUGAAGGAGGACUGCAUGAAAGCAUUUAAGGAAGAGAAGAGAAUUUUGCAAAGGAUGUUCCAAAACUCCAAAUCCAAGAUUUCUUUGACUACGGACCUAUGGACAUCAAAUCAGACAGUGGGGUACAUUUGCAUCACAGCUCACUUCAUUGAUGAGGAGUGGAAGCAGCAGAAGAGGAUAGUGAAAUUUGCAGCUAUGGAGACGCCGCACACAGGAGCUGCAAUGUUCAACGUCAUGGUGAAUUUCAUAAGAGAGUGGAACAUUGAAGAUAAUCUCUUUGCUGUGACGCUAGACAAUGCAUCGAACAAUGGUGCAAUGAUGAAGCUAUUGAAGGCACAUCUCCUGCUUAAGAAGAUGUUACCUGGUGGUGGCAAGUUGUUUCACCAACGUUGUGCCGCCCAUGUCAUAAAUCUGAUAUGUCAAGCAGGAUUGAACUUCCUUGGUCCAGUGAUCAACAUGAUACGUGAAACUGUGAAAUAUAUUCGAAGCUCACCAAGUCGAAAGGAAAAAUUUCAAGAAAUUGUUGAGCAACAUGGUGUAUCAUGUAGGAGAACUCCAAUUCUUGAUGUUCCAACUCGUUGGAACUCAACCUACAUGAUGAUUGAUAUAGCAAAAGAGUAUCGUGGAGUGUUUGACUCUUUGGCCAUUCAAGAUAAACAAUAUACCUUCAAGCCAUCUUUUGAGGAUUGGGAAAAUGCUGAAGAUGUUUGCAGGCUACUGAAGGUAUUUUAUGAAGCCACUAAUGUGAUAUCCGGCACAAAAUAUCCAACUGCUAACUUGUAUUUCCAUGAAAUGUGGAAAGUGAAGCUGACCUUAGAGCAACAACAUUAUGAAGAGGAUUCUGAGAUGGGCACAACGGUCAAAUAUAUGAAGAGAAAAUUUAGAAGGUAUUGGAAGAUGACAUGGUUGAGCCUUUGUAUUCCAGUGAUUUUGGACCCACAAUUCAAGUUGAAAUAUGUUGAUUUCCGAUUUGGCCUAGAGUUUGGGAACGAAGUUGCAGCAAUGAUUGCUAAAAUAAAAAAUGUGUUCCAAGGGUUGUUCAAGGAAUACCUCCAAUUGAAUGACAAUGGAUCAGAUCCCAUGUCACAAGGAGGUGAUGAUGACAUGGCUGUAAGUGGUGAAGAUCCUAUGGCUGAUUGGGUCCAACAUGUCACCCUCACUGCUCGAUCAACAAAUUUGGAUUAUACCGAACUUGAUUCGUACUUGUCAAAGGUACCCAUCCGCCGAAGUGAUCAAUUCAAUAUCCUUACAUGGUGGCAGACGAACUCCAGUGAAUACCCAACGCUGAGUCGCAUGGCAGCUGAUAUCUUGGCGGCUCCUUCCUCUGCGGUGGCAUCCGAGUCCGCCUUCAGCACAGGGAAGAGAGUCCUAUCAGAUUUUCGAAGUCGAAUGACCGCAACGACACUUGAAGCUCUUGUUUGUUUACAAGAUUGGAUAAGGGCCAACGGUAAAGCCAUACGACACAAGUUUCUUCUUUGUUUCUUAUUAAUGCUUCAAGUUUACAAGUUUCUUUUUUUUCUGCAGCUAAUACUCAACGUAGCUUGGCUUCAGUUCAUGACAUUAUAA
rnacentral:rRNA from 1 species